rnacentral:lncRNA from 1 species
UCCCAGCUGUGGAUAGUUAUUUCCUUUGCACUCAUAUUUGUUGGUUUUCACGAGGGCUCCGAGAGAAAUACAAACUGGUGCAGAAUCAUGAUCAAAGACUUGUGGUCCUUGAAGUGAAUCGGCUCGUUUUUUCUGCCUACACCUUCAGACAUGGUGCUUGAUGCCUAUGCGCACUAUAAGCUGUCUACGAAUAUGAGCAGAUCACAUUGGCUGUAAAAGCCGGCAUGUGUCUUUACAUAUAGCAUGUGGAUUAUUAGAGGAAACCGAAACCACAUCACAUCCAUACAGUGGCGAAAGACACAGUAGGGCUAAGUAUUGCGGCUUUGGUAGUUGUCAUAUCUAAACUUUUGAUAGUCUUAUAUGUUAGAGUACUCGUUAGGGUUUUGAUUGUCUCCUGUGUAUUUACCCUCUCGCACUUAUUGUAAUGGGCCUGGCCCAACUAUCGAGUGUAUCAAUACAACGCCGCCCAACCCCACUCAAGGGUUAGGGUUUCCCACAUUAUAUCUUCUAUGUUAGAAUAAAACCAUGUCUAUUGCAGUGAUUGUGGUGUUUCAAUUAGCAUGUCUUGAGUACGAUUCCUAUAGUGUGCGUUAUUUCCCCAUUUUUCUACCAGCUACUACAAUGUUCGAUUCCAGCAUGCACCAUUUCCUCAAUUUUGUUUCUUUUUUCUAGUAGCUAUUAGUUAUAUUAUCAUAUCUUAUAUUUCUUUUGUCCUUCGCCACUGCAACCAUACAAUGGAUAAGGAUCAAGUGUCGUAGUUAGCGUUUACAUAUUAUAUUAUUGUGACAACUAGAGAAUUAUGGUUGGUUUCAAUUCAUCAAUUUUCUUGUUAUACUUUAAACAAAUUUGUCGAAAUUGCUUGAUAUAUGAAUAUCAACAACAGUAAAAAAAUUAGUUUCAAAUACUACCAAAUUUAUUUAAAAAUUAUUGCAGAUGGCCUACUUAUUAUACAACCAAAUUGCCUGCUGAUUCUGCCCAUGACCUUGGUGAAAUGUUGAGGGGGGAAACAAAACAACUCCCCAUUUCAUUAUGACAUGACAACAUGUUUCGGGGGACUUCUGGUCAACGAAAGGCAUUUGAGUCAGUAUUUACACCUUGUGCUAUAAGAGAUGUAGGCAUUUGUAAUGAAUGCUUGUAGCUUAAAGUAACAACUCCACAAUUGCACAGUUGCAGCUUCACUUACUUUACCCUUCUUAGUGGCGAAGCUAUUGUGAAUCACAGAAGGGUGCAAAUGCUUUGGAGAUACAAAGUAAUGAUUUAUAGGUGGUGCAUGUAUUAUGAAAAUCCAGUCUAAAUCGCUGAUUUUGCAAAUUUUCGUGAGUGCAUAUGUACAAAGUAAUGAUUUAUGAGCAGAUCACAUUGGCUGUAAAAGCGGGCAUGUGUCUUUACAUAUAGCAUGUGGAUUAUUAGAGGAAACCAAACCACAUCAUAUCCAUACAGUGGCAGAGGAUGAGAGGACACAGUAUGGCCAAGUAUGGCAGCUAUCAUACCUAAACUUUUGAUAGUCUUAUAUGUUAGAG